GUAGGGUGGGCAAGCGUUGUCCGGAAUUAUUGGGCGUAAAGCGCGCGCAGGCGGUCCUUUAAGUCUGAUGUGAAAGCCCACGGCUCAACCGUGGAGGGUCAUUGGAAACUGGGGGACUUGAGUACAGAAGAGGAAAGCGGAAUUCCAAGUGUAGCGGUGAAAUGCGUAGAGAUUUGGAGGAACACCAGUGGCGAAGGCGGCUUUCUGGUCCGUAACUGACGCUGAGGCGCGAAAGCGUGGGGAGCAAACAGGAUUAGAUACCCUGGUAGUCCACGCCGUAAACGAUGAGUGCUAAGUGUUAGGGGGUUUCCGCCCCUUAGUGCUGCAGCUAACGCAUUAAGCACUCCGCCUGGGGAGUACGGCCGCAAGGCUG
rnacentral:rRNA from 1 species